rnacentral:lncRNA from 1 species
GUCCGACUAGCAGCAGCCGCUGCUCCCCGGUGGUUCAGAGCCGCGCGAGCUGAGCGUUUCGCCUACAAAAGCAUCUUCGGAUCGGUUUCCCACCGCCGAAUGUUGCUUGAGCCAAUGUGACUGGCUCUAGGAGGAAAUAAAUCACAUCUGUCAAAAGAGCCUCGAGUCGAAGGAUAGGAGAAACCUCGAAUUUGGUGGGUGCUGACCAAGGCACCAUGCAAGGGGUUAACUUUGCUUUAGGGGGUGACCUGGCUGGCUGCUGCAGUUGCCGUUAACAGCCACCGAAUGGAUGAGACUCCAGAUCCACCUCCUCCUGCGUUCCUCAAAACAGGAAGAUGGAGAACUACGGAGAGCUACUUCCCAGAGGGGCCGAUGGCAAGCACUCCCUUCAAGGAAACUGGGGAAGUUGCCCGAUUUUGAUCGUUUCCAUCCAAACACCCACCAGACAAUAUAUACAUACACAUUUCUAAAUUAACAGCAUUGGCAAAAACUGAAAAUACUUGUAUUUAAAGUUGAUGACAGUAUGAAAACAAGAAAUCCGUCCGGGCGCGGUGGGUCACGCCUGUAACCCCAGCACUGAUCACAAGGUCAGGAGUUCGAGACUAGCCUGGCUAACAUGGUGAAACCCCCUUCUCUACAAAAAUUGGCUGGGCGUAGUGGCGCGUGCCUGUAUUCCCAGCUACUUGGGAGGCUGAGGCAGGAGAAUAGCUUGAGCCCGGGAGGUGGAGGUUGCCGUGAGCAGAAAUGGCACCACUGCACUCCAGCCUGGGCGACAGAGUAAGACUCUGUCCCCGCCCCCCUCCACCCAAAAAAAGAAAAAAAAAAAAAGGAAUCUUCUAUGUUGUUGAGAGGGAUGUUAAUUAGUACCUUUAUGGGGCAGUAAUGUAACACUAAAAUUUUUCGAUGAUCGUGCAAUAUUACUUCUGGGAACUUACCCUACAGAAAUACUAUAAAAAGUAAUAUGGACAAAAAUCUUCACCAUAUAAAUUGGGUAAAUGUCUUUUGGAAAACAAAUCAUGGCCUGGCCACACAAUGGUAUGAAAAGAUGCCCGUGUAAAGUGAAAAAAAGCAUCUUGUCAAACAAUCUGCAUAGUAUGACACCUUUAUUGUGAUAAAUGAUUCUGUGAAGGUAUGUCUGGAAGCACACAACUAAACUAUUAACAGCAGUUACCUCUGGGAAAUAGGACAGGGAUUUCAGGUUUUAUUUUGGCCAUAGACACAUUAUUUUGAUUCUAAAUUCAUCAUUUAUUUACUAACUUAGCAUUACUAUUGAGUACCAAAUAUUUGCCAGGGAAUUGUUCUGGGAAUACAGUAAUAAUUCAGUUUAAAAAAAUAAAAUCUUUGGAGCUUACAUUCAAGUGGGAAACAACAUGCAAAUAUAAACAACAAAGGUAAACCAUAUAGUAUGUUUAAAAGUACAAAAGAGAGCCGGGAGUACAAAAUACAGCAGGGAGAUGAGACAGGAAUGCCCCAGUAGCUGCAGCUUUAGAUAAGCCUCAGUGAGAAUGACACUUCAGGAAAGAAAUGAAGAGGCUAAAGAGCCUGAAGAACAUUUGGGUAUUGCAAAUAGUAAGUGCAAAGGCACGAAGGCCUGACCUGUUUUGGAGGCAGGGAGGACGGCAGGAGCAGGGUGAACACAGAGGUGAUGGGGUCAGAGAAGGGAGAAAAGGGGUGCUUCAUGUUUUGCCCAGCAUUGAAGGCUAUUGUGGACUUUUGAGUGCCAUGGUCGUCUAUUGGAGAGUUCUGAGGGUUGGUGUGAUCUGACUUGGAUCUCAAGAAGAACAUUCUGGAUUCAAUGUUGAAAACAAAUGGAAAAGGAGAGAGAGCAGGGGCAGAGGCAGCAAGCUCAGGAGAAACAGCGAUUAAGUAAACAAUGGGUUUACUUGUUCAGUUUUGAGACUUCUUUAUGUAAUCUAGAUGCAACUCAUUUAUCAGAAAUGUUUUGCAAAUAUUUUUCUGCCACUCUACAGCUUGUCUUUUUGUUCUCCUUAUGGUACCUUUCAAAGAGAAGUUCUCAAUUUUGAUAAAGUACAAUUUAUCGAUUUUUCCUUCAUGGAUUGUGCUUUUGGUGUUGGAUUUAAGAAAUCUUUUCCUAACCCAAGGCUGAACACGUUUUCCUUGUUGUCUUCUAGAAAUUAUACAGUUUUGGGGAACUAUAAUCCAUUUGGACUUUAAUCUUUGCCAGUGUUAAGAUAUGGAUCAAUUUGUUUUUAAUUUUGCAUCUGAUGCCCAAUUAUUCCAGCAUCAUUUUUUCAAGACCUUUGCACCUCUGUCAAAAACCAGUUGUCCACAUACAUGUUGGGUUAUUUCUGGACUCUAUUCUGUUCCAUUAGACCAAUGCACAGCCAGCAGAAGGGACUGAUCCCAAAAACAUAUGAGUGAAUGAAGAGGAGUACUGGGUAUGAAGCUUCUCAUCUUUAGGUGUAUCCUAAAGAAGAGUUACUGAACAAACACAGAGAAGCAGAAAAACUCCGGCACUGUUACAUAUGUGAAGAAAAGUUUCAAAAUGAUAACUAAACAAUGUAAAAUGAGGCAAAAAGGGGCCUCUACGUAGUGUUUACGUAUGAGUGGUCUUAGAGAAGUGUGUGACUAAGUAGAACUAGAUUGCAGAAGGCUGAAAGAGUAAUGGCAGGGGGACCUACAUAUACCAAACAGUCACUAAGGAAGUGGCUAGGCCAUCUCUCCCGGGUGAACCUUUCUCUGUGUUCCCCAUGGCAUUUUAUUCAUACCUCUGUAAUACAAUCUUUUGCUCAUGCUUCUGUUCCAUUCUGAGUUCCUUGAAGGGAGACAUCAUACCUCAUUCAACUACAGUACUAAAUACAGUGCUAGAAACAAAACAGACACCAAAAUAAAAACAUGGAGGAGGAGGGGAACGUUACCCUCUCAGCCCCUUGAUACGUUAGUUCUCCUUAUCACUACAUGUUUGCAACAAGAGUAGCUAUGAACUGUGGAGCGGAAGGGGGAAAUUAAUGGCCAGUUUCUGAACUUGACCAUGCAAUUUCCUUUGCUGAAAAAUUUCAGCUUCACAGAUUAAAGAUGUCUAUGGUUCGAAUAGCAUUUCCUCUAUCACCCCUGCAUUUAAAGUAAUUAAAAAUGCACUUGUUUGGGGGAAAACAAUCAUGGAAAAAAUUCUGAACCUAUAAACAAAGAAAAAUUAGAAAUAGUCUGAAGCAAAAGGAUCUCCUCAGGGCACUCAGAAGGAAAAAAACAUCACGCAAGUCUUUCCUUUUUAUCUGGGACAUAUGGUCAGGUAUGUACAAUGGAUUUGAUUGGUUUUACUCUAAGUAUUCAGCUAAAAGACAACCUUAGUGAAACUGACUUUCUGAUCUCGUAGCAGACAUGCAGAAGUGGGCAGUAGCUUGCUAUUGCACAAAAUGUGGGGCCUUACUCUUCCCAGUGAGGACGGUCUACAGUUCAAGUUAGGGAGACAGAAGGGGAGGGAUGUGUCCUCUGCAACUAUGCAUUUAAAUGUAUACAUAAAAGGGAGUCGCCACAGUCACAUUUAACUGGAGUUGUUUUUCCUUCCUAUUAUAACAUCUGGAUUAUCUAUGCUGGCUAAUAAUGCAUAUUUCUGCAAUCUUAAAGCAAUCUUGCAAUAACACAAAAACAAACAAAAAAACUAGACUACAAUUAACAUUCACUUUAUUCAGUUUUGUCCUCUCAACUUAGAAGGCAACAAAUGACCACAUUAAAAAGGGAGCAUUUCAGAAUAUAUAUACAUAAAAUUGGUCUGGGUACCCUAAGGUGUUUGCGUUGAUAGAAAAUUGACACCCCAAACUAAGUGUUCUACUUAGCUUCUACAAUAGUUAUUCCUAGACCUUAGAUUAGUCAUUACAUUUUUAUUUAAGGUACUAUGUUACUUUCAUGACUACAAAAUGAGGCACUCGUACAAAACAGGAAUGAAAACAUACAUAUACUGUCUUGUCUUUAUGUCGUAUUAAUGCCAAAGAUAUUGUCAGGGAUUAUUUUAAAGAAGCCCUUACUCAUGAUGGCUAUUUUUAAAAAUGGCACAGGACAGUAACAGGCUGAAAAGAAAACACCUGGUUGAGGGGACAAAUUAAGUAAAUACAAGACAGCUUAACCAAGGAAGUCAGCGAAUCUCCACAAAUGAGGCUUUUAAUAAUACUUUACUGGUAAGACAUUUUAGUUGGGUUUUUUUUUGAUGGCUGAAUAACAUCCUAAAGAAGUAUUUUAAAUAUAAUCUUUUAAUUUUACAAUGUAGAAAACUUCUCACAGUAAGUAGAGAGCUUAGAGUACUCAACCCUGAAAAUGAAAAUAAGUAGCUAGCUUGGAAAGUUUUAAAAAGCGCCAGUGUUCUUAUGGCACUACAUUCUCCUGCACGUGUGCGUGUGUUCACGCACAUUCGCAAACGCAAUACAAUGUAGAACUGUCCAGUGUUUGUUUUGUUUUAAAAAGUCAUCAAUUCAACCUAAAUUCAAGAAUUACACUUUAAUAGUGGCAUUUUGCCAAUACAGAAAUGACGUAUCUUGGAUCAAAUCAUUUUAAGGAAAGUUAUUCUAUAUUACUUGAAUAAGGGAAAGAAAAUACACAAGACAAGAAUCCACAAUAAUAGCAGUUACAUUAAAUGUUGAAAUAAAAAUUACUUUUUGUUUACAUCUGGAAUUGAGAUGGCCCAUCUUCAUUGUUUCUCCAGAGUACUAAGAGGGGGAAAAAAGUCACCUAAAAACAUGGGAAGUUUUUUAAGGCUAGCUAUACACAAACGUCACAUUGGCAUUUUUCUUCAGUUUUCAUCUCAACUAUUAGUACUAAAUAGUUUAAAAAUCAAACAUAAUUUACUAAUAAUGAACAACUGCACACUUCAUACUAUGACCGUUUGAUAACUGGUCAUGUAAAACUAUCACCAAAUGCUGAUUUGUCUUCUAUAUAUAAAUAGUAAAAAUAAAACAAAAAGGUCUUCUUUCCUAGUUAACCUUCUUGAAGGUUGUUUUAACCCAAUAUAAAAUUAAGCAAAAUAAUAGUAUAAUUUAAAAAAAAAUUUAUGUGAAGAAGGGCAGCAAUACUAACAUUUUCUGAACUAUGGGUUUUCAAUAUUUAAAAGGCUCUUGGUUAAAUACUAAAACCCGGAUGCUACCCAAGCAAAUAUUAUGCUGGAAAAUGCUUUCCCUAUGAAAAUACUUAUCUCAUUGAAAACAACACGAUAAAGUACAAUUGAAAAACUAGGGGAGAAUUCUUAAGUAAGACAAUAUAAAUUACCUGCCAGUAAAAUGGAGGGCAAUUUUUUGGCCAUUCAUAUUGUUUGUUUACAAAACAUUGAUAAGAUUCAUUUAAAAUUCUGUAGGAUUAAGAAUUUUUAACCUUUUGAAGUAUCUGCCUAGGAUCUCUUGCUGUUAAAACAGAUAUGUUCCAAUGACUUUAUACCAAGAUCCACAAAUUCUUUGAAAAAUUAAAAAACAAAACAAAACAAAACAAAAAACCCAAAAUUAAUAUAAUCAAGUUGGCCAGGCGUGGGGGCUCACACCUAUAAUCCCAGCACUUUGGGAGCCCAAGGAGGACGGAUCACCUGCAGUCAGGAGUUCCGAGACCAGCCUGGCCAACAUGGUGAAACCCUAUCUCUACUAAAAUAACUAAAAUAAGCCAGGUGUGGUGGCACGCACCUGUAGUACCAGCUACUUGGGAGGCUGAGGCAGGAGAAUCGCUUGAACCUGGGAGGCAGAGGGUGCAGUGAACCAGGAUCGUGCCACUGCACUCCAGCCUGGGCAACAGAGUAAGACUCUGUCUCGGGGGCAAAAAAAAAAAAAAAAAAAAAAAAAAAAAAAUAUAUAUAUAUAUAUAUAUAUAUAUAUAUAUAUAUAUAUAUAUAUAUAUAUAUAUAUAGUUAUAUAGUUAUAUAGUUAUAUGCUCAAUUCAAUAAUAAUGUUUUUCUCCCAAAGAGAGCAAUUUAGAAAUACACUAUGACAGGCAGCAUUAUAUUUUAAAAUCCUAAUUUUUUAUAGUAGGACUAAAUUUCUGAGUAAAGGUAGGGCUAACAAAGACCUUAUUUCAAAUGAGAGAAAAGGCUGCUCUAAAGUGCCAAAGAGUAUAACACUGAAUCCUAUGUCAAGCAUUAUUUCUGAUACUGAUUUUUUUUUUUUUUUCCAAUUUUGCCUAGGUUGGCCUCGAACGCAUAGCCUCGCCUCCUUGUGUGCCAGGACAACCGGCCGGAGCCACC